rnacentral:rRNA from 1 species
UACGUAGGUGGCAAGCGUUGUCCGGAUUCAUUGGGCGUAAAGCGCCCGCAGGCGGCUCAGCAAGUUUCAGGUGAAAUCUCCCGGCUCAACUGGGAGGGGUCUUGGAAAACUGCUGGGCUUGAGGCAGGGAGAGGGAUGCGGAAUACCAGGUGUAGUGGUGAAAUGCGUAGAUAUCUGGUGGAACACCAGUGGCGAAGGCGGCAUCCUGGCCCUGUCCUGACGCUCAGGGGCGAAAGCGUGGGGAGCAAACCGGAUUAGAAACCCUCGUAGUCC